rnacentral:tRNA from 1 species
AAGAAAUUAGUUAAAUUAAUAACCUUAAAAUGUCAUUUUAAAAUUAUCCCAAUAAAUAUUUCUUA